UAUAUCAAACAGCAGUAGUGAUG
rnacentral:piRNA from 1 species